AGAGUUUGAUCAUGGCUCAGAGCGAACGCUGGCGGCAGUAACACAUGCAAGUCUAACGGACGCAGCAAUGCGUCAGUGGCAGACGGGUGAGUAACACGUGGGAACGUGCCCUUCGGUUCGGAACAACCCAGGGAAACUUGGGCUAAUACCGGAUGCGUCCGCAAGGAGAAAGAUUUAUCGCCGAAGGAUCGGCCCGCGUCUGAUUAGCUUGUUGGUGAGGUAACGGCUCACCAAGGCGACGAUCAGUAGCUGGUCUGAGAGGAUGAUCAGCCACACUGGGACUGAGACACGGCCCAGACUCCUACGGGAGGCAGCAGUGGGGAAUAUUGGACAAUGGGCGCAAGCCUGAUCCAGCCAUGCCGCGUGGGUGAUGAAGGCCUUAGGGUUGUAAAGCCCUUUCGGCGGGGAAGAUAAUGACGGUACCCGCAGAAGAAGCCCCGGCUAACUUCGUGCCAGCAGCCGCGGUAAUACGAAGGGGGUUAGCGUUGCUCGGAAUCACUGGGCGUAAAGCGCACGUAGGCGGAUUGCUAAGUCAGGGGUGAAAUCCUGGAGCUCAACUCCAGAACUGCCCUUGAUACUGGCGACCUUGAGUCCGGGAGAGGUGAGUGGAACUGCGAGUGUAGAGGUGAAAUUCGUAGAUAUUCGCAAGAACACCAGUGGCGAAGGCGGCUCACUGGCCCGGUACUGACGCUGAGGUGCGAAAGCGUGGGGAGCAAACAGGAUUAGAUACCCUAGUAGUCC
rnacentral:rRNA from 1 species